AUUGAACGCUGGCGGCAUGCCUUACACAUGCAAGUCGAACGGCAGCAUGGAAGAGCUUGCUCUUCUGAUGGCGAGUGGCGAACGGGUGAGUAAAGCAUCGGAACGUACCGUGUAGUGGGGGAUAACGUAGCGAAAGUUACGCUAAUACCGCAUACGCACUGAGGUGGAAAGCAGGGGAUCGCAAGACCUUGCGCUAUACGAGCGGCCGAUGUCAGAUUAGCUAGUUGGUAGGGUAAAGGCCUACCAAGGCGACGAUCUGUAGCGGGUCUGAGAGGAUGAUCCGCCACACUGGGACUGAGACACGGCCCAGACUCCUACGGGAGGCAGCAGUGGGGAAUUUUGGACAAUGGGCGAAAGCCUGAUCCAGCCAUGCCGCGUGAGUGAAGAAGGCCUUCGGGUUGUAAAGCUCUUUCGGCUGGGAAGAAAUCGCACAGGCUAAUACUCUGUGUGGAUGACGGUACCAGCACAAGAACG
rnacentral:rRNA from 1 species